CAGACUGUCCUACGGGCGGCUGCAGUGGGGAAUAUUGGGCAAUGGGCGCAAGCCUGACCCAGCGACGCCGCGUGAGGGAAGACAGCCUUCGGGUUGUAAACCUCUGUUGCAGGGGAAGAAGGAAGUGACGGUACCCUGCGAGGAAGCUCCGGCUAACUACGUGCCAGCAGCCGCGGUAAUACGUAGGGAGCGAGCGUUGUCCGGAAUUACUGGGCGUAAAGGGCGCGUAGGCGGCGCUUCAAGUCGUCUGUCAAAAGCCGAGGCUCAACCUCGGUGCGCAGACGAAACUGGAGAGCUUGAGAAGCAGAGAGGCAAACAGAAUUCCUGGUGUAGCGGUGAAAUGCGUAGAUAUCAGGAAGAAUACCAGUGGCGAAGGCGGUUCGCUGGCUGCAUACUGACGCUGAAGCGCGAAAGCCAGGGGAGCAAACGGGAUUAGAUACCCUUGUAGUCCU
rnacentral:rRNA from 1 species